GCCGGCGUAGCUCAGUGGUAGAGCAACUGAUUCGUAAUCAGUAGGUCGUAGGUUCAAAUCCCAUCGCCGGCU
rnacentral:tRNA from 1 species